rnacentral:rRNA from 1 species
GGAAUCUUCGGCAAUGGACGAAAGUCUGACCGAGCAACGCCGCGUGAGUGAAGAAGGUUUUCGGAUCGUAAAACUCUGUUGGUAGAGAAGAACGUUGGUGAGAGUGGAAAGCUCAUCAAGUGACGGUAACUACCCAGAAAGGGACGGCUAACUACGUGCCAG